rnacentral:rRNA from 1 species
CCUACGGGUGGCAGCAGUGGGGAAUAUUGGGCAAUGGGCGCAAGCCUGACCCAGCAACGCCGCGUGAAGGAAGAAGGCUUUCGGGUUGUAAACUUCUUUUAUCAGGGACGAAGCAAGUGACGGUACCUGAUGAAUAAGCCACGGCUAACUACGUGCCAGCAGCCGCGGUAAUACGGAGGUGGCAAGCGUUAUCCGGAUUUACUGGGUGUAAAGGGCGUGUAGGCGGGAGUGCAAGUCAGAUGUGAAAACUAUGGGCUCAACCCAUAGCCUGCAUUUGAAACUGUACUUCUUGAGUGCUGGGGAGGCAAUCGGAAUUCGGGGUGUAGCGGUGAAAUGCGUAGAUAUACGGAGGAACACCAGUGGCGAAGGCGGAUUGCUGGACAGUAACUGACGCUGAGGCGCGAAAGCGUGGGGAUCAAACAGGAUUAGAUACCCUGGUAGUC